GUUUUUUUUUUAGAUUUAGAUUUUUAAAAAAAGUUUUAUACAUUUUAACAUUUUUUUCGACCAAUGAAAAAGAAGCAUUUAUUUCUUUUAAGCUCGCGAUAUUCGGCACAAACUGGAUUAUUCAGUCUUCACUCUAGAGCGUACACACGUGGAUCAAAUUAGAGCUAGCUAGAUCUAGAUCUAAAUCUAGUUGAAGAUAUCUACUUGGUAGUCUAAACCUCAAAGGAGCUUAGGGAAGUGAUGGCAGUUGCAGGGUAUGAACCAGACGACCAUGCAGAGACCAACGAGGCGACCAAACAGUCCAUCGUGCAUACCACAUAACCAGGUCCAGAAUGCCAGUUUUCUUUAAGGGCAGCUGACAAUAAGAAUUGUCUAUGUAUGCACUACAGAUGCUGUUCAAUAUCUUUUCAUGAGGAAGCCUGCUCAAAAAGAUCGCCACAUUUUCUUUAGGGGAAGUUGACAUUAAUUUUUUAGGUUAAUAAUAACCUGUGCAUGCAGUACAGAUGCUGUUCAUCAUCUUUUCAUAAGCAAGCCUGCUCAAGAAGCUGCUGCAUGGAAGUCAAAAUAUGAAUUAUUGCCACCAGUCUUGAAGUCAGCUUGUAAAGAAUGCUAAGAAUUGAAUGAAAAUGCUGUCUUGAUAUCUUGUUUGUGCUGUUAUAUUUGUCUUUUGUGUUGGUUAAUUAUUAGAUGAAUAAAAAAUAAAAAAAAGUUAAUUGUGUAAGUUUGAUUUAAGAAUAAAUGAUCAGAGCAUGCAAGUCUUAUAUAGUACGUUACCAAAAAUUGUAUUGUUUGAUAGUGUUCAAACCCAAAAAUGUAAUUUAACUUGUCCAUUACUUUAUAAAUAUGUUGACAUUAUAGCUAGAUGUAUAUAGAAAUCAUGCACUGAUUCAAUUAUUAUAAUUUCCAAACAAUUAUGUCAAAUAAUUCUAUUGCUAGAUCUAAAUCAUCAGUGUGAAAGUAGACCUAUGUAAAAGGUUAAAAAUCUCAUACUAAACCAUUGAGCUGCAUUUGAACAAAAAGGGCAUUAUAAACAAAAAAUCACUAAUGAAUUUGUUUUAAACUACAGUAUUGAAAAACAUUAAAGAUUAUUCCUAAUUAAGCCAUAAUAAAAUUUAAUGACUGAACCAUCGGAGACAGUAUUUGCAUGAUAAUACCUAAUUGAGCCCUAAUAAAUAUUUCAGUUACUAAACCAUUAGGGCCAGCAUCGGACCGAUAAUGGCACAAUAAGGGUUAUCCCUAAUUGAAC